rnacentral:rRNA from 1 species
CAGUAGCCACGGUAAUACGAAGGGUGCAAGCGUUAAUCGGAAUUACUGGGCGUAAAGCGUGCGUAGGCGGUUUGUUAAGUCUGCUGUGAAAUCCCCGGGCUCAACCUGGGAAUGGCAGUGGAUACUGGCAAGCUAGAGUGUGUCAGAGGAUGGUGGAAUUCCCGGUGUAGCGGUGAAAUGCGUAGAGAUCGGGAGGAACAUCAGUGGCGAAGGCGGCCAUCUGGGACAACACUGACGCUGAGGCACGAAAGCGUGGGGAGCAAACAGGAUUAGAUACCCCCGUAGUCCCUGUCUCUUAUAC